rnacentral:misc_RNA from 1 species
AAGGAGUCUAACAUAUAUGCGAGUAUUUGGGUGGCAAACCCUUAUGCGAAAUGAAAGUGAGUACGAGUGGGAUGCCGCAAGGGCACACCAUAGACCGAUCUUGAUAUUUUUUGAUAGAUUCGAGUUAGAGCAUAUCUGUUGGGACCCGAAAGAUGGUGAACUAUGCCUGAAUAGGGUGAAGCCAGAGGAAACUCUGGUGGAGGUUCGUAGCGAUUCUGACGUGCAAAUCGAUGGUCAAAUUUGGGUAUAGGGGCGAAAGACUAAUCGAACCAUCUAGUAGCUGGUUCCCUC